GUAGUUCAGCUGGUUAGUCCCGAUAGCUAUCGGGAACAUGCCUGUCAUCUCGUCACUAGUGACGAGACGGGUUCGAGUCCCGUCCGGACCGCCA
rnacentral:tRNA from 1 species